rnacentral:rRNA from 1 species
GAUGAACGCUGGCGGCGUGCCUAAUACAUGCAAGUCGAGCGAAUGGAUUAAGAGCUUGCUCUUAUGAAGUUAGCGGCGGACGGGUGAGUAACACGUGGGUAACCUGCCCAUAAGACUGGGAUAACUCCGGGAAACCGGGGCUAAUACCGGAUAACAUUUUGAACCGCAUGGUUCGAAAUUGAAAGGCGGCUUCGGCUGUCACUUAUGGAUGGACCCGCGUCGCAUUAGCUAGUUGGUGAGGUAACGGCUCACCAAGGCAACGAUGCGUAGCCGAACGGAGAGGGUGGUCGGCCACACUGGGACUGAGACACGGCCCAGACUCCUACGGGAGGCAGCAGUAGGGAAUCUUCCGCAAUGGACGAAAGUCUGACGGAGCAACGCCGCGUGAGUGAUGAAGGCUUUCGGGUCGUAAAACUCUGUUGUUAGGGAAGAACAAGUGCUAGUUGAAUAAGCUGGCACCUUGACGGUACCUAACCAGAAAGCCACGGCUAACUACGUGCCAGCCGCCGCAGUAA